rnacentral:rRNA from 1 species
GACGAACCGUGCGAACGUUGUUCGGAAUCACUGGGCUUAAAGGGCGCGUAGGCGGCCGUCCGAGUCCGGGGUGAAAUCUUUCGGCCCAACCGGAAAAGGCCUCGGAUACCGGGCGGCUCGAGGGGGGGUAGGGGGCACGCGGAACUUCCGGUGGAGCGGUGAAAUGCGUUGAUAUCGGAAGGAACGCCGGCGGCGAAAGCGGCGUGCUGGACCCCGCCUGACGCUGAUGCGCGAAAGCCAGGGGAGCGAACGGG